UUCACCUAAACACAAAUCUGUCAGUUAAAAAGUAGAAGCUUUAUUAGAUCAAGAUGUUUUAAGCACAACUUCUGACCACUCACUGGCUGACCAGUAAGCUAUGAUGGCCCAGGGUAACCCUUAGGAAAUUAGGCAUGAAGUGAAAACAAUGAUAACGACAAUAAUAAUAUUAACUGAGCAGAAACAUUAGCUGCUGCAUGUUGUGAGGGAGCCAGAUUCCACAGAAUUAGUUCAUGCAAAUCGCUAAACAAACAAGCAAAACAGAAAUCAGAACAACCUGCAGUUGAGGGGGACCAGAAUUCAAACUUGGUAUAGCACAUUAUCUAAAAUGUUCAGUUUUCAACAAUUAUGAUAUGCUACGAAACAGUAAGUAUAACUCAUACACA
rnacentral:lncRNA from 1 species